GAUGAACGCUAGCGGCAGGCCUAACACAUGCAAGUCGAGGGAGAAGCCCUUUCGGGGGCAGAAACCGGCGCACGGGUGCGUAACGCGUAUGCAACCUACCUUUCACAGGGGGAUAGCCCGAAGAAAUUUGGAUUAAUACCCCAUAAUAUUAUUGGAUGGCAUCAUUUGAUAAUUAAAACUGCGGUGGUGAAAGAUGGGCAUGCGUCCUAUUAGCUAGUUGGAGUGGUAACGGCACCCCAAGGCUACGAUAGGUAGGGGUCCUGAGAGGGAGAUCCCCCACACUGGUACUGAGACAGGGACCAAACUCCUACGGGAGGCAGCAGUGAGGAAUAUUGGUCAAUGGUCGGAAGACUGAACCAGCCAUGCCGCGUGCAGGAAGAAUGCCUUAUGGGUUGUAAACUGCUUUUAUAUGGGAAGAAUAAGGCGUACGUGUACGUUGAUGACGGUACCAUAUGAAUAAGCAUCGGCUAACUCCGUG
rnacentral:rRNA from 1 species